GCUUUCUUUGCUGCCACCACCCCACUUCUCACAGCGACACAUGGAGUCCAGACAGUUGUUAACAUAAACAAAUAGUCAAGUUUAUUUUUAAGUGCAGGAACAAGCGUAUGGUUUCAGUUUAUUUUUCUCUUGUCAGUUUCUUAAAUCUUAGUUCCUAACAACUUCAAACUGAAUUAUUCCCAACUAUCUAUCUAACUCCCUAACAAUUCCUCUCACUCUCUCACAAUACACCUUGACCAACCCACUGCCUAUUUCACCCUCUUCCUUCUCCAACACCCAAGCCUCAACUCCCAACUGACAAACCUCAACUCCCAACUCCCAAACCUCAACUGACUUUUUCAAAACCUCCCCUCUAACGUCUACUCGCCCCUUGCAUUCUCACUGGCCAAUCACACCACAUCCAUUUUAACCCUUUCCUUGACCCAUCCUAGGAGGCAAAGGCCACAGAUACACACUAUGGAUGGUCCGUGGGACACAGGUGGCGCUGUGGGUUAAACCACAGAGCCUAGGACUUGCCGAUCAGAAGGUCGGCGGUUUGAAUCCCGGCGACAGAGUGAGCUCCCGUUGCUCGGUCCCUGCGCCUGCCAACCUAGCAGUUCGAAAGCACGUCAAAGUGCAAGUAGAUAAAUAGGUACCACUCUGGCAGGAAGGUAAACGGCGUUUCUGUGCGCUGCUCUGGUUCGCCAGAAGUGGCUUAGUCAUGCUGGCCACAUGACCCGGAAGCUGUAUGCCGGCUCCCUCGGCCAAUAAAGCAAGAUGAGCGCCACAAACCCAGAGUCUCCCAAAGAUAUCCUGCAAAGCAGCAGAGGUUUAGGAUCAGAGUUUUUCUUCUCUUAGAUGGGCUACCUUCCCAGGUUGAUGAGCUCCAUCUGCCCCUUACGUAAAUUACAUAAAUAAUUAUAUAAAUUACGUUAAAAAGCAGUCAGUGAGACAAAAAAGCAGUAUUUUGCAGAAACCAAACUGCAGUGGAACGGAAACAGCACUGAUUGUGAUGAAGACAGGCCAGAAUGGAAAUCACUGCCUUCUUACAUCCCUACUGGUUACAAUGAACUGACCAAACUGACUUCCUUGGCAGAGAGCUCAAACAGUGGGGUGCUUCUACUGAGAAGUCUAUUCAUUACUGACACUUGAUAGACUUCUUAUAAGAUGCAGAACUCUUCAUGGUAUGACCCUUUUUGGCUUGAGGUGGAACAUAAAGAAGAGGGCAACUAGGACCAUCACCUUCUUGGAGAUGGUGCCCUGCCACUGGAACUCCCUGCCUAAAGAGUCUCCCCUAGCCGCUUAUAAGGACAGAGAUGGGGGGAUAGUGGCCCCCCAGAUGUCGGACUCCCAUCAAUCCCAGCCAGCAUGGAUAACUGGCUUUAAAAAUGUAGUAUGAAUUAUCCCAAUUAAAGACAACCUUCAAUUUAAUACUGAGUAUUUUUACUGCAAACUUUUCUGUGCACUUGUUUCCACCAGACUUUUCAAGUAUAUUCUUAGUAUCUGGAUUUGUUGUUGUUGUUGCUGCUGCUGCUGCUGCUGUUCCCAUCAUCGUCAUCAUCAUCAUCAUCAUCACCUUUUGGUUAUGUGUAAUGUGGCCACUUUCAAGAAAGAGGCUUAGUGAUCAACCAAUCAAGCUGUCCAGUCGAAUGUGCAGUUCAGUCAAACUCCACAUCAUUUUAUCAGGGAAGUCUCUGGCGUUUGCUGCCGAACACUCGGGGAGAAGGAGUCGGGCAGCAUCGAGGGAAUAAUGGCCAUGAAAAGGAUCUUUUUGCUUUCACUUCUCGAAGCACGCACUGGACAAGGGAGCACAGCAUGUUUCAUCAGAAACAAUGAACUCUCCUUUUCAACUCUCUGGCAUUUUGGCAAAGCUGCUGAUGGCUCAGAAACCCAGAGGACAACGUGUUGGCCAUGCUGAAGCCCACUUUUGUUCCCUCAGACAGGCACUGCUGAAAGUGCUCCUGUUGUCACUAACCAACUUCCGAGGCCACAUUUACAUGUCGGCAUGUGUGUACGUGAGCCUUUGCUCAUUCCGCAAUUACAAAUGCAAACACCUACUAUUUCCAGCCUGACAGGCUGCCAAAACCUUUGUAUAUGAGUUGGCACGAGAGAUUACUCCCGUGUCCAUUCAUCGUAUUAGCAAGGCUCAAUAAUAAUAAAAGAGACAUCCGAG